rnacentral:tRNA from 1 species
UAGAGUAGCUCAAUGGUAGAGUAUUUGUAUGGUAUACGAGAGAUCCUGGGUUCAAUCCCCCAGUCCUUAAA